AGCGAACGCUGGCGGCAGGCUUAACACAUGCAAGUCGAACGAUCCUUCGGGAUAGUGGCGGACGGGUGAGUAACACGUGGGAACGUGCCUUUAGGUUCGGAACAACACAGGGAAACUUGUGCUAAUACCGGAUAAGCCCUUCGGGGAAGGAUUUAUCGCCUUUAGUAGCGGCCCGCGUCUGAUUAGCUAGUUGGUGAGGUAAAGGACUCACCAAGGCUACGAUCAGUAGCUGGUCUGAGAGGAUGAUCAGCCACACUGGGACUGAGACACGGCCC
rnacentral:rRNA from 1 species